GGCGGGGGAUGGCCGAGUGGUGAAAGGCGCUGUUAGGCGCUAUAAAGGACAUCGGAUGUCUCUGGUUCGAUCCCCACGACCCCCCGCCAAUU
ensembl:ncRNA F52D2.14 ncRNA